rnacentral:tRNA from 1 species
GAGGCUGUAGCGCAGAGGCAGCGCGCCAGUACAUCGACCGUCUAUCGAUGCACACUGGAGGUCGCGGGUUCGAUCCCCGCCAGCCUCG